AUUCAUCUCACAUUCUCACAUAUCGACCUCCAUAUGAAAUUUGAAAUUCAAAUAGGUGGAUAUUUUUUUUGCUACUGAAGACUACUUCAUGAAAGAACGACAUGAAGAUAUAUUGCAUCCAUGGGAAGAAAAGAGGAUGGAGUGAUGGCAGGAAUGGUGGGUCGGAUUGGAAUUCAGUGUAAAUGUUGAUGCUUAAUUCUUCGCAAGUUAUCAUUUGUAAUCAAUCCUUUAACUAUUAUAAUUAUGUUGCCAUUUUCGUUCACUUCAAUAUGUAGACACCCAAGUUAUAUUAGCUGAGAUGGUAUAGUGAAAUAACAACUUGUGUUAUGUCUGAACAUGUCUCAAUAAGUUUG